rnacentral:lncRNA from 1 species
AAAAAACCAAAAAACCUGCGUUUUUAAGGGGAGGCUUUCCAACCAUGAUUAACUUCAUUUUCUGUAGGUCCAUGAAAGACCUCCUCCUCCUUCUCCACCUCCCUCUACAAUAUAUGAGUAUUUUCUCCACCUCCCUCUACAAUAUUUUUUACAGAGUCAAGAGGAUCCUAUGAAUUUCCCACUGGGUUAAAAAUAUGACACAAUCCAAGGAGACAGCAUACCCAGUAGUGCCGUGUAGACUGUCGUAAACACCGUUUCACCAGGCUGCACAGAUGAUGCUGCUCUUCCCUUCACCUCCCAUCCUGUCGAAAAGGUUUUGUUAUUUUGUGCUCAUUUCAGAAGCUGAUGUGUAAAUGGUGUGUAUUUCUGUUGCCAUGACAACCCAGCAGCAAUUGGCCUGGGCUUCUUACCAGAGUACAAAUGUGCUCUUGACACGAUGCUUAUCAGACUUUGCCAGACAAUUUUCCCUCCUGGAUUCACACAAAAGGUUUCGAAGACUCCUAACUGCAUUUAGAGGAGAGACAGGCUGAAAUUUCGCACUUGGCUCACAUGAAUGAUGAAGCUCUAAAGCUCUGAUCCCCUGCUGAAGUCAUCGUGUUCUAGUCUAUCAUUUCAGUACUCUGGGGGCAACUCUGUAUAAUUAAAGAGGACCAAGUAUAAAUGUGGCAAAAAAAUCUUGCUGGCUACCAGAACUGGGCUUUUGUUGAUGUUUCAUGUGACACAUAACUGUCUCUGCAUUUAAUAAAAGGUCACUGUGA